rnacentral:rRNA from 1 species
GGGAGUUGGAUUGCCAUGGGCGCAGCCUGAUGCAGCCAUGCCGCGUGUGUGAAGAAGGCCUUCGGGUUGUAAAGCACUUUCAGUCGUGAGGAAGGUUUUGGCGUUAAUAGCUGAUAUAUUUGACGUUAGCGACAGAAGAAGCACCGGCUAACUCCGUGCCAGCAGCCGCGGUAAUACGGAGGGUGCGAGCGUUAAUCGGAAUUACUGGGCGUAAAGCGCAUGCAGGUGGUUUGUUAAGUCAGAUGUGAAAGCCCGGGGCUCAACCUCGGAAUAGCAUUUGAAACUGGCAGACUAGAGUACUGUAGAGGGGGGUAGAAUUUCAGGUGUAGCGGUGAAAUGCGUAGAGAUCUGAAGGAAUACCGGUGGCGAAGGCGGCCCCCUGGACAGAUACUGACACUCAGAUGCGAAAGCGUGGGGAGCAAACAGGAUUAGAUACCCUGGUAGUCCACGCCGUAAACGAUGUCUACUUGGAGGUUGUGGCCUUGAGCCGUGGCUUUCGGAGCUAACGCGUUAAGUAGACCGCCUGGGGAGUACGGUCGCAAGAUUAAAACUCAAAUGAAUUGACGGGGGCCCGCACAAGCGGUGGAGCAUGUGGUUUAAUUCGAUGCAACGCGAAGAACCUUACCUACUCUUGACAUCCAGAGAACUUUCCAGAGAUGGAUUGGUGCCUUCGGGAACUCUGAGACAGGUGCUGCAUGGCUGUCGUCAGCUCGUGUUGUGAAAUGUUGGGUUAAGUCCCGCAACGAGCGCAACCCUUAUCCUUGUUUGCCAGCGAGUAAUGUCGGGAACUCCAGGGAGACUGCCGGUGAUAAACCGGAGGAAGGUGGGGACGACGUCAAGUCAUCAUGGCCCUUACGAGUAGGGCUACACACGUGCUACAAUGGCGCAUACAGAGGGCGGCCAACUUGCGAAAGUGAGCGAAUCCCAAAAAGUGCGUCGUAGUCCGGAUUGGAG